rnacentral:misc_RNA from 1 species
GUAGGUGAACCUGCGGAAGGAUCAUUACCGAGUACUCCUGUUCUGCAGGAACUCCCACCCUUGAAGACUAAAGCGUUGCUUCGGCAAGACGUCUUAGGACCAUCGGAUGCAUAAAUCGAUGAGUGCUUGCCGGAGUUCUGAACUCUAAAUAUGUAUUGUCCGAUAAAACAAGCAAUAAAUAAAAACUUUCAACAACGGAUCUCUUGGUUUUGGCAUCGAUGAAGAACGCAGCAUCUGACUGACUUCAGGU